rnacentral:tRNA from 1 species
AUGGCAGAAUAGUGCGAUGAACUUAAGAUUCAUACAUAAAGCUUUGCUUUUU